AAUAAAGCAUAGAACCUAGUACAUUUUUUACUUUUCAGAGAACUGAUGGUUGGUGAGAAUCAGUAAUGGAAAGAAUGGAAUCCAGUUCAUUAAAAGUGUAUCUUUUGAAAGAAAGAUCGUGUGCCCACGUUACGGGCAACAAGGGCAGCGUUAUGCUGAACUCGGGUGGUACCGCGAAAGAUCUUUUCGUCCCAAGA
rnacentral:ncRNA from 1 species